rnacentral:rRNA from 1 species
AGCAGCCGCGGUAAUUCCAGCUCCAAUAGCGUAUAUUAAAGUUGUUGCAGUUAAAAAGCUCGUAGUUGAAUUUCGGGGUUAGUAGGCUGGUCGUGCCACUGGUACGUACUGGUCUUACUGACUCCUCCUUCCUGAUGAACUGUAAUGCCAUUAAUUUGGUGCUGCAGGGAAACUGGACUGUUACUUUGAAAAAAUUAGAGUGUUUAAAGCAAGCUAACGCUUGAAUACAUUAGCAUGGGAUAAUGAAAUAGGACGUUCGAUCCUAUUUUGUUGGUUUCUAGGAUUGACGUAAUGAUUAAUAGGGAUAGUUGGGGGCAUUAGUAUUCAAUUGUCAGAGGUGAAAUUCUUGGAUUUAUUGAAGACUAACUACUGCGAAAGCAUUUGCCAAGGAUGUUUUCAUUAAUCAAGAACGAAAGUUAGGGAUCGAAGACGAUCAGAUACCGUCGUAGUCUUAACCAUAAACUAUAGCCGACUAGGGAUCGGAUGAUGUUAAUUUUUAAUGACUCAUUCGGCGCCUUAA